UCCUUUGAGGUUGGAGUCCCCCUUGCUUCUUUUCAGUGAUUGAAGAGUUAUUUUUUUGUGUGUAUUGGGCCUUAGGCCUGUACGAGAUUAGAGACCUUUUCUUUAACAGGUGUCUCUAGGGUUUUGGGUAUGUUAUGGGUUGGUACUCUCAUCCUUUGAGGUUGGAGUCCCCCUUGCUUUUUUUCAGUGGUUGAAGAAUUGUUUAUUUGAGUUUUUUAGGCCUUAGGCCUGUACGAGGUUAGAGACCCUUUCUUUAAGUUGUCUCUAGGCAAAAACACUCAGCAAGGUUUUCCCUAUAAGGAAGAAAAAAACCCAUCAUCUACCUUUUGAGCUGAUGGCUCGUGGAACCCGAAUUACAGAUUUGACUCCU